rnacentral:ncRNA from 2 species
AUUGAAAUAAUCAAAAUAAGCGCAGUAAAUGCAUAAUAGGGAAAACGGUGCGAAUCCGUUGCGGACCCGCCGCUGUAACCGGGAAUGAAAGCCACAUGCCACUGCAGAGGAAAAAACUGCGGGAAGGCCGGCAAGUAAAGUGAUCCGGAAGCCAGAAGACCUGCUUAUUGUUCAAUGUUAUA